rnacentral:rRNA from 1 species
GACGUAGGUGGCGAACGUUAUCCGGAAUUAUUGGGCGUAAAGGGUGCGUAGGUGGCUUGAAAAGUUAUCAGUGGCAAAUCGAGGCUUAACCUCGCGGAAACUGGUAAUACUGUUUGGCUCGAGUGCAGGAGAGGUUAACGGAACUCUAUGUGGAGCGGUAAAAUGCACAGAUAUAUAGAAGAACACCAAUAACGGCGAAGGCAGUUAACUAGUCUGUUACUGACACUGAGGCACGAAAGCGUGGGGAGCAAAACGG